UAUUUAUACAUAAAAAAAUAUUAUUAAGUACGCUUUUUUUAAAAGGUAGUUUUAUAUUUUAAGUAGGUUAUUGGAUUUUUCUUUUCGUAAAUUUAUUCGAGAUGAGAUUCUGAUCUUUUAAAUUAAGAUAAUUUGUGUUCUAUACAAAAUUAUAUUUUUUUUACAUAACUCUAAAAUCUCGGACUUGAUUCUUCAUAUUUUAUUAGUUAAUUGUGUUACAUAUAAUAGAAAUAUUUACUUCAAACUAAAAAUAUAAAAAAAAAUCAAAUUUAAAAAUUGAUUAUAUAUAAUUUAAUAUAGAAAAAUUUACAUACAAAUAAAAAUGAUAAAUGUAACAAAUUUAAAUAUAUUAUCCGCGCGUAGCGCGGAGAAAGGAUCUAGUACUAUUAAUAAUGAGAGGAAUGGCGUCACGUGAAAGGAGUUUGUGGGAACCCAUUUGGGAUUUAUAUAAAUAAAAUGAAUAAAUAUCCGUACGGUGCAGUCGUACAUGUUAACCUAACCCACUCCAACUUUUUUUUUUCUUCCUUACGUGUCAUACCGUACAAACCAACGUGACUAGUCUUCAAAAUUUAAUUUAAUGUGAAUAGAUUAGAUUAAAGAAUGAUAAGUGUGCGUCAUGGAAGUUACCUUAUUGCAUUAGUUUGACUGAAAAGUUAUCCUACUAUAUAAAAGGAGCUAUUUUAAAGGCUUCUAAAGUGUGCCACAUAUGCAAAAAAUUCCUGGCCAAUCAAUCUAACAGCUCAUCUCAAACUGGGCUGAUAUCCAUGUCAAUUACGAAGCCCAAACAAUUUAUUUAAAUCCCAGUCAAUACUGAAGUCAGCCCAAUAUCCAUUUACGGUAUAUGAUAUCAAGAAACUAAGAAGCUCAUUCUAUUUUAUGAAAUUACAUGCUUUUGUUUAGUCUUUCGCCACAGUGACCGGAUGCGUGUUGAAUCACAAAGCUUCUCACGCAUCCCAUUAUUAUACUAUUUCAAUUGAGGUUCUUAGUGUUGUUCUAACUUAUAUUUAAAAAUAAAUUUUAUUAAAUGUUAUAGAUUUUACUAUUAUCUUAAUAAAAUUUAAUAUAGAUUUGAUAUAUAUUAUAUCAAAUUAUAUAAAACUAAUAAAAAUGAUAUAAAAUUGUAUAAUUAUCAAACAUUUGGCCUAAACAAUAUUUUUAAAAUUUUGUAGAUAUAUAAGAAACUAAAUAUCAUACGAUUAGAUAUUAGAUGUUUAAGAAUUGCAUAUUUUUAAAAGCUUUAGUAAUACAAAUUGUAUAAUUAUAUAAAAAUAAUAAUAUUACUAAAUCUGGAAUGGUAUAUAUGAAUAUAUAUUUAUUUUAUAGAUGAUGCAUAAGAUAUUACCAACAUUAAAUAAAAUUAUCCGUCUCAUGUUUAUUUUUUUAAUUGUAGAGAUGGCAUGUAGCAAAAUGCCCAAAAUGACCCUAAUACCCUAGAUAUAUAGAAAAUAUAAAAAAUUUGAAAUAUAAUACAAUAAUUAUUUGUAGAUAACUGGUACGUUAAACUUUGUGGGACAAGGAGACGUCUAAUUUCAGGGAGUAAAAUCGCAUAUCUACCAGAAAAAACUAAAUCGUAAUCAUCACAAGUGUCAUUCUACGGUUACAUGAAGGGAAACUAUCACUCACAACCACACCUGGAUCGCGCUUCUACUUUGACAACAAUAUUGAUAUCAUACAACGCUUCCAAAAGAAGAAUAAAUGUCUAUCCUAAGCUUCAUAGCAAACGACACCAGUCAACUUUUUUAAAAUUUACGUUACAGCUUUCUACGUCAAUUAAAUAGGCACACUCAAAUACUAUUUUCUCUUACGAAUAUUAAAUUCAUCAACAUAAUUUAUUAUUCAAACUUA